rnacentral:rRNA from 1 species
GAUGAACGCUGGCGGCGUGCCUAAUACAUGCAAGUAGAACGCUGAAGGAAGGAGCUUGCUCUUUCCGGAUGAGUUGCGAACGGGUGAGUAACGCGUAGGUAACCUGCCUGGUAGCGGGGGAUAACUAUGGGAAACGAUAGCUAAUACCGCAUAACAGUAGAUGUUGCAUGAUAUCUACUUAAAAGGUGCAAUUGCACCACUACCAGAUGGACCUGCGUUGUAUUAGCUAGUUGGUGAGGUAACGGCUCACCAAGGCGACGAUACAUAGCCGACCUGAGAGGGGUGUCGGCCCCCCCGGGACCGGGACACGGCCCAGACCCCUACGGGAGGCAGCAGUAGGGGAUCCUCGGCAAUGGACGGAAGUCUGACCGGGCCACGCCGCGUUAGGGAAGAAGGUUUUCGGAUCGUAAAGCUCUGUUUUAAGGGAAGAACGAGUGGUGGAGUGGAAAGUUCACGCUGUGACGGUAUCUUACCAGAAAGGGACGGCUAACUACGUG